UACGUAGGGGGCAAGCGUUGUCCGGAAUCAUUGGGCGUAAAGAGCGUGUAGGCGGCCAGAUAAGUCCGCUGUGAAAUCUCGAGGCUCAACUUCGAGCUGUCGGUGGAAACUGUCGGGCUUGAGUACGGAAGAGGCGAGUGGAAUUCCUGGUGUAGCGGUGAAAUGCGCAGAUAUCAGGAGGAACACCAAUUGCGAAGGCAGCUCGCUGGGACGUUACUGACGCUGAGGCACGAAAGCCGGGGGAGCAAACAGG
rnacentral:rRNA from 1 species